AAACAAUUAUCAAAAGAUAAAAAUUUCAAUACACAAAUACGCAUUCAUAGCUGUUUAACAACUUUACGCCAUAUAGAAAAAUCAUCAAAGUUAGUCAUACAAAUGUAACGGAGUCAUCUCGAAACAAACGAAUGAAAAGUAAAAUGUACAAGGAUAAUUCAUCUUUCUUCAAAUUCUUCCAAACAAUCAGUAACCAUAGCAUCCAUCCAUUCAGUCACCAAAUAUCCCAACCCCAAUAAAGCACUUUCAUCCAAACACUCGAAUGACUUUUUCCCUGUCGCAAGCAUGUAUUCUGUUGCAAAAUCCUGGAUGCUAUGAACUAAAUCCUAAACAUAAAAAGAUUAGUUAAACAAGUAUUGGCAGAAGCUGUGAACUUACAGGAUCCGGCAGUUCAUGUGGAAUUGGAACAGAAAAAUCCUGUACUAAAUCACGAGCUCUGUAAGACAAUUCACCAUCAGCAUUCACCAAAUUAUACAAAGUUGGCCGAGUUGGUGGAUUUGACAUUAAUAGAUGGCGUUGGACGUAGAGUAUGUACUAUGCUAGGUGAAGCUUCUAAUUCGUCCUUGCAGUAGUACAAUCAUAUUUGGAAACACCAAGCUCAAGUAAUGGAAUCCCCACAUUCUUAAAAGUUAACUGCGACUUACAGAAAAUUUAUCUCGAGGUUUACAGACAUACUGAAAAAAUAGUUCAGGCUUUACGACAUAACAACAAAACAACUUUACACAGAUACAAUCCAAACCAUAUUAUAUUGACCCAAUACUUAAUUAAAGUGGGUUAUUAAUAAAACGUAAAGAACCUUUUCGCCAUUUUUGAAAGGGGAAUUUUUUUUCUGUCAUAUACAGAUUUAAUCUAAUACUAUUUAUCGGUCCUGCCGCGUAAAAAGACAGAAUGUUGAUAAAAAUGCAGAAGGAAAUCGAAUGGUCGAUAUAGACCAUCCGUUGACCACAAUCGUUCAUUACCGCCUAGCAUGAACAAUAGAAAUAUGUUAAAAAAUUUCGGAAACAGCGGAGCAGGGUUCGAGAGGGAAAGUAGUUGCUCUAAAUAUGAGCUUUUGAUAGCUCAUCAGCAAGUUCUUUGUCUUCUUUUUCUUCUUCAGAAGUCUCCGGCUCAGGGCUUUGAGACUCAGCUUCUUCUUCUUCAUCCUCCUCCUCCUCGUCGGUAAGUUCCUCCAUAUCAUCAAGCUCAUCUAGUUCACCACGACCACGGGUGCUAAAGACUUCACGUAUUUCAUCAACAACAUCGUCUUCUUCCGAAAAUCUGUUUCCAUUUAAUUCAAGGAAUAAAAGAUCCGGCAUUUUCUCAUCAAUCACAGUUUUUAGGGUCCGGACAGCAUCCAGCUCUAUCUCGUUAUACUGUAAGCGUAACGUUUGAAGCCCAAUAUUUUCUAAUUUAGAAAAAGCAUCUACAACUGCGGCAGCACCGCGAGCAGAUAAGAGACAAUCGUUGAGGCCUAGUUCUCGAAGGUUGGGCCAGCUUUUCAACGCGAUAGCGAGAGCGCUAGAGCCCAAGUGCGUAAAUGUGUUAUCUUGAAGAUCGAGUACCUUUAGCUCUUGGCAAUAUGCUAAUCCUUCAAGCAAUAAGUGUUCAAUACCUUCGGGACGGAUACCAUUUUGCACCAUUUUCACUGUAUGUAGCAAACGGUGGCUCUGGAAAGUUUUAGCCCAUUCUUUCAUACUCCCAUUUUCUAAACGAUUUCUUCCACAAAUAAUGGAACGCAAGGGAGGUGCAUUUUUAGCUUUCUUGUUGACCGCCAGCUCUUGCAAGGCACGAGCAAUUUUUGCGCCAGCUUGAGGACCGAGUCCAUUAUUGUGUAGGUAAAGAUGCUCCAAAGGUGUGUGUUUUGAAAGAAAGUCAAUCAAGGGCUCCUGUGCAGUAGGGCCAAAGGCAUUAUCGCUCAAUCUUACAGUAUGUAGUUUUGGGCACUUGAGUAAAGCUUGUAGCAACAGACGUAAAGCCUCAGGAAUUUCAUCUUUGACACGUCCAGUAAAGAUAUCACUAAACUCUGCAAUUUCUAAAUCUUUUUUUGAGGCAAUAUUCUCUGACAACCAUCUAGCAGCUUCGGUUCCAAUUGUGUUACCAGACAAUACAAUUUCCUUUACAGAAUCAUCUUCUAACAGAACAGCAAAUACAGACUUCUCGUCUUCAGUUGUAAUUGCAUCUAAUUUCAAAGACUUCCCUUCUAUUGAAAAACGCGACAUGGAGUUGGUUGUUGAAAGAAAAAAUAUAGCAGGUAUGGUGGUGAGGAAAGAUUGUGUGAACUAGCUGUGUAUGUUAAAUUUGAUCGAGGAUAGAUGCUUCAGUCACUUGAAUUCAUGGCUUUUAAAAAAGAAACUAAAAUAAUAUUCAAAGUAGAAGAAGAACGAAAUUUAUCCUCUUUUGACGGAUACCCCCUUUACUCAACCUGUUUUUAUUUACAAACUCAAAUGCGAUCUCUCGCUAAUGAGUUUAAUUUUAAGACGAUUCUAUGCUAUUAGAAGUCAUUUAAAUUAUUAGAUCAGAUUAGCGCAAACCGAAAGAUACUCAAUGUCGGAGUGGUGCAUUAGUGCUCGGAUACGUUCCUGAAAGACAUGUAUAAAACUUUUGUAAAUAGGAUGAUUGAGCUUUUUUGACAUUUAUCUAUCAUUCAUUUUUGAAAAAAUAGCUGUGACAAUCCUGUUGCAUAUAGUUUGUUUUUUUGACUAAGUAUAGAGGAUCUUAUGAAGAACCUUUUUGAGUGACCUUAGUCCUGAAUUCUUAGCUUAAGUUUGCUUUAACUUAAUUGCAUUUCUAGCAAUUAACAUUGCUAGAUUUUUGCCUCAUCGCUAGUCCAUUUAUAAGAAUACGAAGUUGAACGAAGGAAUAUUGACCAAAAGAGCUUGGUGACUUCCAAAAAAUGAAGAAUCAAAAAGAUCUGAAAUGAGUAUCCCUAUCUUUCAGCUUUCCGCUUGUUUCGUGAUCAUUUCAGUUACUCACACAUAUACAUUUAUGAGUUGACCCAAAAAGAAAAUCGGAAAGCGGGAGUUUAACAGAUAUAUGAAAAAUCAAGAUAAUAACAACAAUUGAUAUUUUUAGUUUAACAUUUCUUAUUCAUUACUGUGAAAAUCCACGAGUCUGCACUCUAGACACAUAGAAUACUCUUUAAACAGCUUUCACAUUAUCAGGAA